GAUGAACGCUGGCGGCGUGCCUAAUACAUGCAAGUCGAGCGAAGCGGGGACGGGUGAGUAAUAUGUGGAUAACAUCCUAUAAGAUUGGGAUAAUUUCGGCAAACCGGUGCUAUACCGGUCACUUAUCCUUGGUUCCGCGCUGCAUUAGCUAGUAGGUAAGGUAACGGCUUACCAAGGCAACGUUGCAUAGCCGACCUGAGAGGGUAAUCAGCCAAACUGGUACUGGGACACGGUCCAGAAUCCUACGGAAGGCAGCAGUAGGGAAUCUAACGCAAUGAGCGAAAGCCUGACGGAGCAACACCGCGAGAAUGAAGAAGGUCUUCGGGUCGUAAAGCUCUGUUAUUAGGGAAGCGAUACCUAAUCAGAAAGCCGCGGCUAACUACGUGCCAGCAGCCGCGGUAAUUC
rnacentral:rRNA from 1 species